rnacentral:misc_RNA from 1 species
GAACGCAUCUUGCACUCUUUGGUCUUCCAAAGGGUAUGCCUGUUUGAGUAUCAUUAAUACUAUCAAUACAAAUCAACUCAAUCAAAUCAACUUGAUAGUUUGAUAUGUGUUUGGAAGUUGAAGGUAUGCUGGCCUUGCGGUUAGCUCCUUUUAAAUAAAUUAGCAGAACCAUUUUAGGACUGGAUUCAGUUUGAUAAUGAACAUUUUAUCGACGCUGUUGCUUGUUAUUUUUUGUUCAGCUGAUAAUUGUCCAUUUUUGGACUGUCUUUUAAAAGACAUCUAAUUCUUUAAUUGAUCUCAAAUCAGGUAGGAUUACCCGCUGAACUUAAG